rnacentral:rRNA from 1 species
UACGAAGGGUGCAAACGUUGCUCGGAAUUAUUGGGCGUAAAGAGCUCGUAGGCGGCUUGUCACGUCGGGUGUGAAAGCCCGGGGCUUAACCCCGGGUCUGCAUUCGAUACGGGCAGGCUAGAGUGUGGUAGGGGAGAUCGGAAUUCCUGGUGUAGCGGUGAAAUGCGUAGAUAUCGAGAGGAACACCUGCGGCGAAGGCGGGUUGCUGGGCUGACACUGACGCUGAGGCGCGAAAGCUAGGGGAGCGAACGGG